rnacentral:lncRNA from 1 species
AUUAACAUAAUCAUAUUCAGUCAUUGACAACACAUGUUUUUCUUGUUUCAUGUAUGUUGUCAAUCCAAAAUAAACUAAAUUUCUAGAAAAAUAAGUGUAAUCAUGUCCUAAAUAUUUAUUUCAACCCAAAAGUAUACUAUAGAUCUCCUUCGAUAUAGUUAACAAAUAUUUAUUAAUAAUAAUCUCAUUUUCUUUAAUACUGUACAGAGGCCUAUGUUAAUUGGGCCUCUCGGUAGGGUCAAAUUUUGGGAACCAAGUGGGCCACUCUCAAUUGGGUAAGAUUUAGGGCAAAAUUAAGGUCAAAUAUGUCAAAAUUAGGUUUUGGGUCAAAAUUAGGUUGUCACCUCAGCCAUUCACGCACGACUUCACCGCGGUCGACGCCCCGGUGUGCACGGUCAAUCACCUCCCCACCGUCUUGGCAGCGACGCUGCACCGUCGUCCGACGCAACUAUCCCUGCCGGCAUACCCACAGCCAGCGAAGGAACAUGGCGAAGAAUCCCAUCGCCCUCGUCGUCGCCAUCUGUGGCCAAGCGUGCGGCCGAGUUCCACCGCCUGAGGCGCUGCUCCGCCGAGCAAAAGAGAAAUACCUGACCAGCUCCGCGCCUCGCCUUCUGCGGUGAUCGUUCCUGCGACGACUUGUUCCGCGACGCCUCUCUCCCGCCGCGACUUCCGUUCCUUCGACGCCCGCCCCUUCACAGUCCCUCCGUCUCCGCCGUCUGCGGUUUCCACCCGCGUGGCUUGAGAUGAUGUGCAUAGCCUGCAAACAGGCAAGCAGAAGGAUAGGUGCAUUGAUUCAUUGCAAGUAAUUUGAAUAUUAAUUUAAAAUCUAAAGUAAUUAUAAUAUAUCUUUUUUUUUAUGAUUUAAGAUAUUUAUAUUUUAUCAACUCUCAUAUCACUCGUUAAAAAUUUAGAGUAGAAAAAAUAUUUAAUAAGAAUUAAAAUCUAUAAUAUUAUAAUUAGGCAAUAGUAUUGUAACAUUAUUAAUAUGAUGUAACAAAGUUAUAGAUCUAUACGUUGAAUCUCAUAUUUUCAUGAUGAAACCACUUGAUAUAUGUUUAUGAUUUAAUCUGCGUUUUGAGUGACGCAGGAUGCUUCGAUCAGGAUGAGACAAUUAAAGCAGGAAAAAUCAUGUUGUGCCGGAGGAACAUAUCAGAAGAUUAGACAUAAGGCCGGUUAUCGAUCGACGUAUCGAUAGAAGGCUUCGGGCCGUGGACUCGGGCAUUGGGCCAAGAAGAGUAGGUGUUGUGCCAAGGAUAUCGGAGUUGCGGAGUCAACUGGCCGAUUGGGCAAUUGGCCGUAGGAGAGGACGAUGCGCCGAAGAAUCAGACGAAGCGUAAGGGACCAAUGAUAUACUAGACAACUUGAUUAAUGCUUAGUAUUAAUUGUCUAGAUCGAAGUUUGUUUUACAUGUGUAUGAUUAACUACGAUGGAAGUAAGAC